UACGGAGGGAGCUAGCGUUGUUCGGAAUGAUUGGGCGUAAAGCGUCCGCAGGUGGCAGUUCAAGUCUGCUGUCAAAGACCGGGGCUUAACUUCGGAAAGGCAGUGGAAACUGAACAGCUAGAGUAUGGUAGGGGCAGAGGGAAUUCCUGGUGUAGCGGUGAAAUGCGCAGAUAUCAGGAAGAACACCCGUGGCGAAGGCGGCUCUCUGGGACGGUACUGACGCUGAGACGCGAAAGCGUGGGGAGCGAACAGG
rnacentral:rRNA from 1 species